rnacentral:rRNA from 1 species
GUCCACAGCCAUACCACCCUGAAUGCGCCUGAUCCUGGCUGAUCUCAGAAGCUAAAGCAGGGCUGGGCCUGGUUAGUACUUGGAUGGGAGAAAGAAAGGUGAAGGGAGGA